GUGUCUUUUAAAAUGGUGCAGUCCUGUUUCUAUGCAGCAUUCCAAAGAUGCUGCCACUGCUUGCAGGUCAGAAGAGGCAGAGUCAUUCUAUUUUUUUUAUUUUUUUAGAAUAACCUAUUCUCCUUAUUUGUAUGUUACUGAGAUCAAUGUGAUGGGAAACUAAAAGAGUAGUACUUGGAUUCUUAUGACUUUCAAAUGAUCUAGUUCAAAAGAUUCAUGUUAAAUAUGCUCUUUGAACUCUGCUUUUGGAUAUAUUGCCAUAAGAUUAAUAGUAUAUUCCGUCUUUUCCCAAAUCAGGAAAUCCUGACAGUUGUCAUGAAACCUUCUGCCAUGUCUCCAAUAUUUUAUUAGUAGGGAAAUGAUGAAAAUGAAUGGAUCAGACGGACAAAAGCAGUUGAGAGUAUGGCCUAAAGAAAAAAAUCCACUGAACAUCAUGCAAUUAGAAGUGCCAUUAGGCAAAGACUCAAUGGAUUGGCUGGAGACAUCUGGGAGCUUGAAAUGACUCUCUACAAGUUGAUCAAGAACGUAGCACCUGAAUGAACAGAGGAGCAGGAGAAAAGGUGGUGACGGUAAGCAAGGAGGUGAGUCAAUGCUUUAAGAAUGUCAGGCUAUUCAAUAUGAAAAUCAUGACUUUGAGGCAU
ensembl:lncRNA